AUGGAUCCCUUAUUCCAUGGAUCCCUCAUCCCAUGGAUCCCUUAUUCCAUAGAUCCCUCAUCCCAUAGAUCCCCCAUCCCAUGGAUCCCUCAUUCCGUGGAGCCCUCAUCCCAUAGAUCCCUCAUCCCAUGGAUCCUGAAUUCCAUGGAUCCCUCACCCCAUGGAUCCCUCAUCCAACAGAUCCUUCAUCCCAUGGAUCCCUUAUUCCAUGGAUCCCUCAUCCCAUGGAUGAUGAAUUCCACAGAUCCUUCACCCCAUGGAUCCUUCACCCCAUGGAUCCCUCAUCCCAAGGAUCCUGAAUUCCAUGGAUCCCUCAUUCCAUGGAGCCCUCAUCCAAUAGAUCCCUCAUCCCAUGGAUCCCUUAUUCCAUGGAUCUCUCAUCCCAUGGAUCCCUCAUCCCAUAGAUCCCUCAUCCCAUGGAUCCCUUAUUCCAUGGAUCCCUCAUCCCAUGGAUCCCUUAUUCCAUGGAUCCCUCAUCCCAUGGAUGAUGAAUUCCACAGAUCCUUCACCCCAUGGAUCCCUCAUCCCAUGGUUCCUUCAUCCCACAGAUCCCUCAUCCCAUGGAUCCCCCAUCCAUGGAUCCCUCAUCCCACGGAUCCCUCAUCCCAUGAAUCCCUGAAUCCCAUGGAUCUGCACCAUCCCCAUCCGAGGCCAGGAAUGGGGGCACAGAAGGGAGGGAUCCCAGGGACGGGACACGCGGGAUAA
rnacentral:lncRNA from 1 species